AAGACUCAGCCCUGGCUUUGUGCAGCUUUCAGGAGCGAGGGGUGAGAGCAGGAUUUCACAGUGAAUGUCUGGUUCCCUUCAUCUUCACAAUCUGACUCAGAUCUUUUAGCACAUGAGGAGUUUUCAGGCUGUAAUUGUGGUGUUUUCCUUCCAAGCCAACUGCCAGUGGAGGUCCCUGUCCCCCUGGGCAUUUCUGUGAGGAGGGGAGCAGCAGAGCCCAGCCGUGCCCUGCAGGGACCUACAGCCCAUCCUGGAGAGGGACACGGUGCCUGCAGUGCCCAGAGGGCUUUUACUGCACCUCUGCCUCCACCAACUACACGGAUUGUCCUCAAGGUCACUACUGCCCCAGCAGCACAGAAUUUGCCACACAGCAUCCUUGUCCCCCUGGAACCUACAGUGAAGCCCUCAACCUCUGGGAUGCUUCCAAGUGCCAGCUGUGUCCUCCUGGAAGGGUUUGUUCCAGGCCAGGCCUGGCGAGGCCAGAUGGGCUCUGCACGCCUGGCUGGUUUUG
rnacentral:lncRNA from 1 species